AACGAACGCUGGCGGCAUGCCUAACACAUGCAAGUCGAACGAGACCUUCGGGUCUAUUGGCGCACGGGUUCGUAACGCGUGGGAACCUUCCCUUAGGUUCGGAAUAACUCCCCGAAAGGGGUGCUAAUACCGGAUAAUGUCUUCGGACCAAAGAUUUAUCGCCUUUGGAUGGGCCCGCGUUGGAUUAGCUAGUUGGUAGGGUAAAAGCCUACUAAGGCGACGAUCCAUAGCUGGUUUGAGAGGAUGAUUAGCGACACUGGGACUGAGACACGGCCCAGACUCCUACGCGAGGCAGCAGUGGGGAAUAUUGGACAAUGGGCGAAAGCAUGAUGCAGCAAUGACGCGUGAGUGAUGAAGGUCUUAGGGUUGUAAAGCUCUUUUAACCGGGAUGAUAAUGACAGUACCGGGAGAAUAAGCUCCGGCUAACUACGUG
rnacentral:rRNA from 1 species